UUUAAUUCGAAGCAACGCGAAGAACCUUACCAGGUCUUGACAUCCCGAUGCUAUUUCUAGAGAUAGAAAGUUACUUCGGUACAUCGGUGACAGGUGGUGCAUGGUUGUCGUCAGCUCGUGUCGUGAGAUGUUGGGUUAAGUCCCGCAACGAGCGCAACCCCUAUUGUUAGUUGCCAUCAUUCAGUUGGGCACUCUAGCGAGACUGCCGGUAAUAAACCGGAGGAAGGUGGGAUGACGUCAAAUCAUCAUGCCCCUUAUGACCUGGGCUACACACGUGCUACAAUGGUUGGUACAACGAGUUGCGAGUCGGUGACGGCGAGCUAAUCUCUUAAAGCCAAUCUCAGUUCGGAUUGUAGGCUGCAACUCGCCUACAUGAAGUCGGAAUCGCUAGUAAUCGCGGAUCAGCACGCCGCGGUGAAUACGUUCCCGGGCCUU
rnacentral:rRNA from 1 species